rnacentral:rRNA from 1 species
GACGAACGCUGGCGGCGUGCUUAACACAUGCAAGUCGAACGGAAAGGCCUGCUUUCCCUUGUGGAUUGCGGGUACUCGAGUGGCGAACGGGUGAGUAACACGUGAGUGAUCUGCCCCCAACUUGGGUAUAAGCCUGGGAAACUGGGUCUAAUUCCCGAUAGGACUGCAGGGUGGUGCCUGUGGUGGAAAACGAUCUUCUAGUGGUUGGGGAUGAGCUCGCGGCCUAUCAGCUUGUUGGUGGGGUAAUGGCCUACCAAGGCGGCGACGGGUAGCCGGACUGGGAGGGGGGACGGCGACAUUGAGACUGGGAUACGGCCCAGACGCCUACGGGAGGCAGGAGUGGGGAAUAAUGCACAAAGAGCGGAAGCGUGAUGCAGCGACGCCGCGUGGGAGAUGACGGGCUUCGGGUUGUAUACUCCUUUCGACCGCGAGGAAGCCACCUGGUUGGGAGGGUGGUGACGGUAGUGGUAGAAGAAGCACCGGCUAACUACGUG